rnacentral:rRNA from 1 species
UACGUAGGGUGCGAGCGUUAAUCGGAAUUACUGGGCGUAAAGCGUGCGCAGGCGGUUCGUCGUGUCCGAUGUGAAAGCCCCGGGCUCAACCUGGGAAUUGCAUUCGAGACUGCGUAGCUAGGGUGCGGAAGAGGGAAGCGGAAUUUCCGGUGUAGCGGUGAAAUGCGUAGAUAUCGGAAGGAACACCAGUGGCGAAAGCGGCUUCCUGGUCCAGCACCGACGUUCAGGCACGAAAGCGUGGGGAGCAAACAGG